ACAGCAGUCGCCGCGGGAAUACGUAGGUGGCAAGCGUUGUCCGGAAUUAUUGGGCGUAAAGCGCGCGCAGGUGGUUUAAUAAGUCUGAUGUGAAAGCCCACGGCUCAACCGUGGAGGGUCAUUGGAAACUGUUAAACUUGAGUGCAGGAGAGAAAAGUGGAAUUCCUAGUGUAGCGGUGAAAUGCGUAGAGAUUAGGAGGAACACCAGUGGCGAAGGCGGCUUUUUGGCCUGUAACUGACACUGAGGCGCGAAAGCGUGGGGAGCAAACAGGAUUAGAUACCCCUGUAGUCCCUGUCUCUUAACA
rnacentral:rRNA from 1 species